UACGAAGGGGGCUAGCGUUGCUCGGAAUCACUGGGCGUAAAGCGCACGUAGGCGGAUUGUUAAGUCAGGGGUGAAAUCCUGGAGCUCAACUCCAGAACUGCCUUUGAUACUGGCGAUCUUGAGUCCGGGAGAGGUGAGUGGAACUGCGAGUGUAGAGGUGAGAUUCGUAGAUAUUCGCAAGAACACCAGUGGCGAAGGCGGCUUACUGGUCCGGUUCUGACGCUGAGGCGCGAAAGCGUGGGGAGCAAACAGG
rnacentral:rRNA from 1 species